GACGAACGCUGGCGGCGUGCUUAACACAUGCAAGUCGUACGGUAAGGCCCUUUCGGGGGUACACGAGUAGCGAACGGGUGAGUAACACGUGAGUAACCUGCCCACAACUUUGGGAUAACGCUAGGAAACUGGUGCUAAUACUGGAUAUGUGCUCCUGCUGCAUGGUGGGGGUUGGAAAGCUCCGGCGGUUGUGGAUGGACUCGCGGCCUAUCAGCUUGUUGGUGGGGUAGUGGCCUACCAAGGCGGCGACGGGUAGCCGGCCUGAGAGGGUGACCGGCCACAUUGGGACUGAGAUACGGCCCAGACUCCUACGGGAGGCAGCAGUGGGGAAUAUUGCACAAUGGGCGCAAGCCUGAUGCAGCAACGCCGCGUGCGGGAUGACGGACUUCGGGUUGUAAACCGCUUUCAGCAGGGACGAAGCUUUUUGUGUCGGUACCUGCAGAAGAAGCACCGGCUAACUACGUG
rnacentral:rRNA from 1 species